rnacentral:rRNA from 1 species
CCUACGGGAGGCAGCAGUGGGGAAUCUUGCGCAAUGGCCGAGAGGCUGACGCAGCGACGCCGCGUGGGGGAUGAAGCAUUUCGGUGUGUAAACCCCUGUUGCUCGGGACGAACGACCCUUUUCGAGGGGUGUGACGGUACCGAGUGAGGAAGCACCGGCUAACUCCGUGCCAGCAGCCGCGGUAAUACGGAGGGUGCGAGCGUUGUCCGGAAUCACUGGGCGUAAAGGGCGCGUAGGUGGUUGGAUGCGCCGGUGGUGAAAGCGCAGGGCUCAACCCUGCGUCGGCCAUCGGGACGGUCCGACUGGAGCACUGUAGAGGCAGGUGGAAUUCCGGGUGUAGCGGUGGAAUGCGUAGAGAUCCGGAAGAACACCGGUGGCGAAGGCGGCCUGCUGGGCAGUUGCUGACACUGAGGCGCGACAGCGUGGGGAGCAAACAGGAUUAGAUACCCUGGUAGUCCACGCCGUAAACGAUGGGCACUAGGUGCUUGGGGGAGCGACCCCCUGAGUGCCGACGCUAACGCAUAAGUGCCCGCCUGGGGAGUACGACCGCAAGGUUGAAACUCAAAUUGAAUUGAGG